AAGGUAGCAUAAUAAAUAGGUUUUUAAUUGAAAUCUAGAAUGAAUGAUUGAACGAAAUAUAAACUUUUUUAAAUUAAUUAAAUAUAAUUUAAUUUUUUAGUUAAAAAGCUAAAAUUUAUUUAAAAGACGAGAAGACCCUAUAAAUCUUUAUAUAAAAUUUAUUUUUUUGUUUUAUUUAAAAAUUUAUUUUUAAAAUAAAUUUAAAUAUUUUAUUGGGGUGAUAUAAAAAUUUAAUAAACUUUUUAUAAUUUAUUAUUAUAAUUAAAAGAAUAUAUUAAUAAUGAUCUAUUUAUUGUAAUUAAAAGAAUAAGAUACUUUAGGGAUAACAGCGUAAUUUUAAUUUUAAGUUCAAAUUAAAAUUAAAGAUUGCGACCUCGAUGUUGGAUUAAAAUUUAUUUUAAAUGCAAAAGUUUAAAAAUUAAGUCUGUUCGACUUUUAAAAUUUUACAUGAUCUGAGUUCAAACCGGUGUGAGCCAGGUUG
rnacentral:rRNA from 1 species